rnacentral:rRNA from 1 species
GACGAACGCUGGCGGCGUGCCUAAUACAUGCAAGUCGAGCGAAGUUUUUCUGGUGCUUGCACUAGAAAAACUUAGCGGCGCACGGGUGAGUAACACGUAAAGAACCUGCCUCAUAGACUGGGACAACUAUUGGAAACGAUAGCUAAUACCGGAUAACAGUAUUUCUCGCAUGAGAGAUAUUUAAAAGUUGGUUAUGCUAACACUAUGAGAUGGCUUUGCGGUGCAUUAGCUAGUUGGUGGGGUAAAGGCCCACCAAGGCGACGAUGCAUAGCCGACCUGAGAGGGUGAUCGGCCACACUGGGACUGAGACACGGCCCAGACUCCUACGGGAGGCAGCAGUAGGGAAUCUUCCGCAAUGGGCGAAAGCCUGACGGAGCAACGCCGCGUGAGUGAAGAAGGAUUUCGGUUCGUAAAGCUCUGUUGUUAGGGAAGAAUGGAUAUGUAGUAACUAUACAUGUAAGAGACGGUACCUAACCAGAAAGCCACGGCUAACUACGUG